rnacentral:rRNA from 1 species
UGGGGAAUAUUGCACAAUGGGCGCAAGCCUGAUGCAGCCAUGCCGCGUGUAUGAAGAAGGCCUUCGGGUUGUAAAGUACUUUCAGCGGGGAGGAAGGGAGUAAAGUUAAUACCUUUGCUCAUUGACGUUACCCGCAGAAGAAGCACCGGCUAACUCCGUGCCAGCAGCCGCGGUAAUACGGAGGGUGCAAGCGUUAAUCGGAAUUACUGGGCGUAAAGCGCACGCAGGCGGUUUGUUAAGUCAGAUGUGAAAUCCCCGGGCUUAACCCGGGAAUUGCAUCUGAUACUGGUCAGCUAGAGUCUUGUAGAGGGGGGUAGAAUUCCAGGUGUAGCGGUGAAAUGCGUAGAGAUCUGGAGGAAUACCGGUGGCGAAGGCGGCCCCCUGGACGAAGACUGACGCUCAGGUGCGAAAGCGUGGGGAUCAAACAGG